rnacentral:lncRNA from 1 species
UUUAACUGGUUCUAUUUCUAUUAAAUCGCGCAUUAUUUGUUCCCUCGACUGCUGAGUGUGCACCAUUUCAGAAAUUGGACAAAAUGCCACAUCUUUCUUUGGUCUUUGCCACAGACACACAUCUUUCCUAACUUACACAAGCUAGCACUAUUUCCUUUGGAAUUUUGACGAAAUAGCAUUUUUUGUUCCUAAAUGCUCGAAAGUGCAUAUGCACUUAUUGCCAUCGUCAGGCGCACAUGGCUCCGCAGCGUCCGAUCGGGGUGGGUGGGUUGGAUUUUCGGUUCAUAAGGGGAGAGGGGGUCGAUUAGAUGCUGCUCAUUUCCGAAAUCGCCCUGCCAAAAUGCAUCUAUUGUACUUGCAUGUGGUGAUUGCUUUUGUGGUUCCCGUAGAUGGAGGUUAGAUGCUUCGGAGUUGUUCCCAGUUUGUUAAACUAGGCAGUUGUAUUGGCUGAUUUUUGGACUUUGUUGUCCUUGUUGUUGUAAACUUGCAACUUAGGGUGCUAGGCCCCUCUAGUUUUCAGUGUGGCAGUUGCUCGAGUUGCAUGUCAGCUAUGGGCUGUUAGCUAAGUCAAAGCAGUUUUUGUAGAUAUUAUUAGAUGAUGCCGAGAUGUUGUACUCCGAGAUUGUUUUAGGCAACACGUUUUUCGCCCUUUGUGCUAUUAGCCAAGUUUCGUACAUGUUUAUAGAUGUUGGCGAGAUGUUUGUAGUUCUGAAAUUUAGGGAAGUUUUGAACCACUUCCGUGCCCCUGUGCAAGGUUUGUACAUGUCAUAGAUGUUGACCAGAAGUUGUAGUUCUGGAUGUUAGGCAAGUUUUUAGCUACCUUUUCGUGCCCGUGGGCUAUGCGCUAAAGUUUUGUACAUGUCAUCAUAGAUGUUUGCCUAGAUGUUGUAGGUCUGGAUUUUAGGCAAGGUUCGAGCCACCGUUAAUGUAGCAUUUCUUUUGCCCUUCAUGCUUUUCACGCUAGUUUUGUACAUGUUGUUGAUUCGUGCUUUUUUCUGGAUCAUGUGCGUAGUGGAUAUCAUGGAUUCGAACGAGGAUGAAGCAGAAGGGGUCGGAUUGAAGAUAUUUUUGGAGAUUUAAUUCAUUUACGUAGCAGGCGCAAACUACAAGGGGGUGAAAACUUGCUCGGCGGUAAUGUUAGAAGAUUUGCUUCAGGGGGUUGACAACAUAUUGAAGGCGCAAACUACAAGUUUACAAGGCUAAUUGUGUGCAGGGUGUCGAGAGUAUAACGAGCCCAAUUUGGACGUAGAUGCGCUGGAGCUGUGGGACAAGAGGUAAUCCCCUGCUUCUUCUUUUUUGUAAUAUAGGUGCAUGCUUUUUUUUUAAGAUCCUUUGAUAUUUUUUGCAUGGUUUUUAUUAGAUGCAUCAGAGGAAAGUAUCUUUCCUCCGAUGCAUCUACUUAGGAGCUUGUGAUCGCUCUUUUUUUUUCUCGUUUUGCUGUAAUUUUGUUUUUGAAAUAAGUCACAUUGCUUUGUUAAAGGUCCAUAGAUGUCGAUGCAGUCCCUUUUCUUGAUUCAAUAGAGGUUUCUGCAUUUAUCUAGUUGCAUGCUUUUUUUAUUUAUCUGGUUUGCAUGAUGUACAUAUGUUCCUUCAAUAUAGGUAGAUGUCCAUCGCAAUCCGUUCUUCUUGCUGCAAUUCAACUUUGUAGAAAUUAAUUAGCUGCGUGCUUUUAAUUUUAUGGUUGUAUGAUGUACACGGUUAAUAUAGGGGCCAUAUAGAUGUCGAUGCAGCCCUUUUUCUUGCUGCAAUUCAGCUUUUGGACGAUUAAUGAUUGGAUGGAUGGAUUAUGACAAAAACAACAUACCAUGAAAAACCAUGGUCAAACUCAAAUAUGUCAGUGCUCACGCUUUUUUAGUA